CAGCUAGCUGCGUGAUUUAUUGUGAAUUGCAGGACACAUUGAGCAUCGACGAUCUGAACGCGAAUUGCGGCCUCGGGUUAAUCCCGGGACCGCGCCCGCCUCAGGGUCG
rnacentral:rRNA from 1 species